rfam:Actinomadura madurae strain DSM 43067 genome assembly, contig: Ga0074857_117
CGGCCGGGGGCACCGUUCCCCGGCCGUCCCGGAACCAGCUGACACCGGUACCUGAUACGGCCGGUGCAG